GGUAUACUGUAUAAUCCCUGCGGGGGAAAGAUUUAUCGCUACUAGAUGAGCCUAUGUCAGAUUAGCUAGUUGGUGGGGUAAUGGCCCACCAAGGCUGUGAUCUGUAGCUGGUCUGAGAGGAUGAUCAGCCACACUGGAACUGAGACACGGUCCAGACUCCUACGGGAGGCAGCAGUGGGGAAUAUUGGACAAUGGGCGCAAGCCUGAUCCAGCUAUGCCGCGUGAGUGAGGAAGGCCUUAGGGUUGUAAAACUCUUUCAGUAGGGAAGAUAAUGACGGUAC
rnacentral:rRNA from 1 species